AAUAAACGUCAGAAAGCCAAUUCAAUUGAUGUCGAGCAGAAGACAAGAAAGAAGGAGAGUGGCACUUCAUCUCCCUCUCCAAUUCCCUCUCCUGUUAAAUGUACCCAUCAGCCUUGCUCUCCUGCUAAACAGCCCUCUCUCACCCGGUCACCUGCCAAACACCCUUCCCCAGUGAAAUCCUCUCCAGUGGUGUCCCGCCCUAGUUUUCCCUCUCCUACCAACCCUCUGGACCGUCAUGGAGACACCAGCCAGGAGGGCGCAUCAGUCAGACCUCUGUCUCUUCAGGACCACUCUAGCCCAAGGCCACAGAGGCCAGUCUCAGCCGCCAGAAGCCGGACUCUUCCCAGGGCCAGCUCAGCCACCAGAGGGUUGCCUAACUUAUUCACAGGUUGCCUGCAGUGCCUCCUGGUCCGCCAUCCUUCUCAAAGGAAAUCCUGCGCCAGGAACAACUCUGGAGCUCUUCCCCCUUCUCCAACCUGCUCAGGUGUCUGUCAGAUGUGCACCGUUCGGGUCUACCUGACAGUGGCGCAAACCAGGCCUCAAAAGCAGACCUGAUGUGGAAGGUCAAGUACUCCUUGUUGGGAUAUGAUUUGAAGUAUCUGGGGGACACGCAACAGGACGCACACGAGUUCCUUGUGAAUAUGCUGUGCCAGCUGAAGGAGGAGGGCAUGAUACUGAAGACACUCGGGGUGAGCUAUACCUGCCCUGUUUCCCAGCUGGAGUUCCAGCUUGUGUCGGUGCGCACAUGUACCAGCUGUGGGCGCGAGUCAUCCACCAGAGAGGACUACAACCACCUCUCAUUGGACUUCAGCCCUGAGUGCACCUUGCUGAGCAGCCUAGCACUUGCUUUUAAAGUUACCCAGGUUAUUAUUGUAGUGGUAUCAUUCAUUUUGUAAUGCUUUUGUUUCUAACCCAGGGCAAAAAGCUUGAAUUCACAUGAGAGGGCUGUAAAGGCCUCCACGCCUCAAAGGUGGAGCAGUUCCACACACUGCCUCUUGUGCUGGUUCUGCAUCUGAAGAGGUUUGGAGGACCUGGGGGGUUGGAGAAGCUGGAGGCUCCUCUUUUGUUUCCUUCGGAGCUGAGGCUCUCCACCCUCUGUGGGGACAUGAUGCCAUACUUGCACAGUGCCAGCCCACAGGCCC